rnacentral:hammerhead_ribozyme from 1 species
AUCUUGUUGACGAGUCUCAAAUAGGGUGAAACGAGCGUCAAACUGGAU